rnacentral:rRNA from 1 species
AGUAAUGUAUGGGGAUCUGCCUGAUGGCGGGGGGUAACUACUGGAAGCGGUAGCUAAUACCGCAUAAUGUCUACGGACCAAAGCGGGGGACCUCCGGGCCUCGCGCCAUCAGAUGAACCCAUAUGGGAUUAGCUAGUAGGUGAGGUAACGGCUUACCUAGGCGACGAUCCCUAGCUGGUCUGAGAGGAUGAUCAGCCACACUGGGACUGAGACACGGCCCAG